rnacentral:rRNA from 1 species
CCCUAUUAUUUUAGAAUGUUAAUUUUUGUGCCUGAGUAGUAUUAGUUAUGUUCUUGAAACUUAAAGAAUUUGGCGGUAUCUCAUUCCGUCCAGAGGAAUCUGUCCCGUUAUCGAUAGUCCGCGUUGGACCUUACUUAUUUGAUUUUGGUUUGUAUACCGCCGUUUAUUGAUUAUCUUUUUAGAGGUUGUUUAAUUUUCUGGUUUCUUUAUUUUGAUGUAUUUCAGGUCAAGGUGCAGCUUGUUUUUAAGUGGAAUGAUGGAUUACAUUGUUAUUUGUUUAUGGAUUGUUGAUUUUAAUAUUGGCAUGAAAUUGGAUUUGGUUGUAAUAAUUUGUAGAUUGUUAUUAUGAUAAUUGGUUCUGGGAUAUGCACACAUCGCCCGUCGCUCUCGUUUGUUUAUUAUAAUGAGAUAAGUC